rnacentral:rRNA from 1 species
CCUACGGGUGGCUGCAGUGGGGAAUAUUGCGCAAUGGGGGCAACCCUGACGCAGCAAAGCCGCGUGAUUGAAGAAGGCCUUCGGGUUGUAAAGAUCUUUAAUUGGGGACGUAACAAAUGACGGUACCCAAAGAAUAAGCUCCGGCUAACUACGUGCCAGCAGCCGCGGUAAUACGUAGGGAGCAAGCGUUAUCCGGAUUUACUGGGUGUAAAGGGCGAGUAGGUGGGCUGGCAAGUUGGGAGUGAAAUCCCGGGGCUUAACCCUGGAACUGCUUUCAAAACUGGUGGUCUUGAGUGAUGGUGAGGUAGGCGGAAUUCGGGGUGUAGCGGUGAAAUGCGUAGAUAUACGGAGGAACUCCAGUGGCGAAGGCGGCCUGCUGAACAUUAACUGACGCUGAGGAGCGAAAGCGUGGGGAGCAAACAGGAUUAGAUACCCCGGUAGUC